AUAUGGAGGGUGCGAGCGUUACUCGGAGUCACUGGGCGUAAAGCGUCCGUAGGCGGUCGGGUAAGUCGGGUGUGAAAGCCCCGGGCUCAACCUGGGAAGUGCACCCGAUACUGCUCGACUCGAGUGCGUGAGAGGAUGGCGGAAUUCCCGGUGUAGCGGUGAAAUGCGUAGAGAUCGGGAGGAACACCAGUGGCGAAGGCGGCCAUCUGGCCCGCAACUGACGCUGAGGGACGAAAGCGUGGGGAGCAAACAGAAUUAGAAACCCUAGUAGUCC
rnacentral:rRNA from 1 species